rnacentral:rRNA from 1 species
CAGCCGCCACGGUAAUACGGAGGAUCCAAGCGUUAUCCGGAAUCAUUGGGUUUAAAGGGUCCGUAGGCGGUCUUGUAAGUCAGUGGUGAAAGCCCAUCGCUCAACGGUGGAACGGCCAUUGAUACUGCAGGACUUGAAUUAUUGGGAAGUAACUAGAAUAUGUAGUGUAGCGGUGAAAUGCUUAGAGAUUACAUGGAAUACCAAUUGCGAAGGCAGGUUACUACCAAUUGAUUGACGCUGAUGGACGAAAGCGUGGGUAGCGAACAGGAUUAGAUACCCGAGUAGUCCCUGUCUCUUAUAC